CUCUUUUUUUUAAUCUUAGUUUCUCACCUUUCUAGGUAUAGAGGAAAGCUUGAUGAAGUGAUUCAUCCCAACCCUGACAACCAACGAAAACACACUAGAAAACAAACAACUUCAUGUCAGCUAGUUAAAACCAGGAAAUCCUGAGUGCUCUAAACCCGUGUCAUGAUUUUGGGGGCCUGUCCUGGAUAUCUAAACUUCUGGGGUCUGAUACUGAGGACCUGGCAGCCGCUUCUCCUUGCAGGUGUGUGGAUCUUGAGACUCGCUGGAUGUCCGCCSUUGCCGGUUUCCUGCCUUUUGAAGUGCUUUCAUGUUGCUCUGGAAAGGAUUAGAGCAAAGCUUUGGUUUUAUUGGGCUGCAGAACAGGUUUUUGCACUCUAAGAAACUACUUUUACUAUUUAAAGAGAGGAAUCUGAGGUCGGAGAAGAGAAGGAGACGUUGCAGGGCCAAGCUGUAGCCUGCACAGCAAGGGCACUUCCUUUCGAACAGCACAGUCAGCCCCCGAGUCCUCUGCCGCUGGUCUUGCAUCGUGUGGCCUUUAUGUGYGGAUCUGCAAAACUGAUUCGGAUGUGAUGGACCUAAGCGGAUUCAGAUCACAAACGCUGAGACCUACCGUGCAUGCAGAGGCAAAACAUGCAUUUUAGGGGGGCACGAUAGGCCCUCCGAAGSACUUCAGCACCCGAGUAAGCCCUUCAAGCCCUAGGGGGUUCUGCGUCUCACAGGGGGUUAAAUUCUGUACCUGUGGCUGGGGGAUAUUUGUAAGGCAAUAGCUAUUGCUGCUGUUGAAAACAUCGAAGAAAUAGCAGAAAUCAUCGUCGGAUCAACCCUCACGGUGGAAACCCUAGCAAACGGUGUGAAGCAAAGGGUAAGCCCAUCGGCAGCCCUGGGAAAUGCCCU
rnacentral:lncRNA from 1 species